CCUACGGGUGGCAGCAGUGGGGAAUAUUGGACAAUGGGGGCAACCCUGAUCCAGCCAUGCCGCGUGUGUGAAGAAGGCCCUCGGGUUGUAAAGCACUUUCAGUGAGGAAGAACGCCUGGUGGUUAAUACCCAUCAGGAAAGACAUCACUCACAGAAGAAGCACCGGCUAACUCCGUGCCAGCAGCCGCGGUAAUACGGAGGGUGCGAGCGUUAAUCGGAAUUACUGGGCGUAAAGCGCGCGUAGGUGGCUUGAUAAGCCGGUUGUGAAAGCCCCGGGCUCAACCUGGGAACGGCAUCCGGAACUGUCAAGCUAGAGUGCAGGAGAGGAAGGUAGAAUUCCCGGUGUAGCGGUGAAAUGCGUAGAGAUCGGGAGGAAUACCAGUGGCGAAGGCGGCCUUCUGGACUGACACUGACACUGAGGUGCGAAAGCGUGGGUAGCAAACAGGAUUAGAUACUCUAGUAGUC
rnacentral:rRNA from 1 species